rnacentral:rRNA from 1 species
AAGGAUCAUUAUCGUACAAAAUGUGUGAGGGCGUGCGAGGGCUGUCGCUGACUUUUUAAAGUCGUGCACGCCGGAGUGUGUCCUCACAUAAAAAUCCAUUUCACCCUUUUGUGCACCACCGCGUGGGCACCCUUCGGGGUCGAACCGAUCCAGGAGGAGGCUUGCGUUUCCACACAAACCCCCUGUAAAAAGUGUAGAAUGACCUCAUUUUUGCGAUAACGCGCAAUCAAUACAACUUUCAACAACGGAUCUCUUGGCUCUCGCAUCGAUGAAGAACGCAGCGAAAUGCGAUACGUAAUGUGAAUUGCAGAAUUCAGUGAAUCAUCGAAUCUUUGAACGCACCUUGCGCCCCUUGGUAUUCCGAGGGGCACACCCGUUUGAGUGUCGUGAAAACCUCAACCUUCUCGGUUUCUUCUGGACUCCGAAGGAGGCUUGGACUUUGGAGGCCUUUGCUGGCAUCUCUCUCUUUUGAGAGCCAGCUCCUCUUAAACAAAUUAGCGGGGUCCUCUUUGCCGAUCCUCGACAUGUGAUAAGAUGUUUCCAUGACUUGGUUUCUGGCUCUGUUGCCUUUGGGACCUGCUUCUAACCGUCUCGACGAGACAUUGUUUGGGCGUGUCUCCCUUCUCGGGAGACUCUCUCGACCCCAUGAACCCUUGACCUCAAAUCGGGUGAGACUACCCGCUGAACUUAA